rnacentral:tRNA from 1 species
CCCUGGGAGGAGCAAUCGGUUAACUCACUUGGCUGCUAACCAAAAGGUUGGAGGUUCAAGUCCACCCUGAGGCA